AUUGAACGCUGGCGGCAUGCUUUACACAUGCAAGUCGAACGGCAGCACGGGUGCUUGCACCUGGUGGCGAGUGGCGGACGGGUGAGUAAUACAUCGGAACGUAUCCAGAAGAGGGGGAUAACGCAUCGAAAGAUGUGCUAAUACCGCAUAUUCUCUGAGGAGGAAAGCAGGGGAUCGAAAGACCUUGCGCUUUGGGAGCGGCCGAUGUCUGAUUAGCUAGUUGGUGGGGUAAAGGCCUACCAAGGCGACGAUCAGUAGUUGGUCUGAGAGGACGACCAGCCACACUGGGACUGAGACACGGCCCAGACUCCUACGGGAGGCAGCAGUGGGGAAUUUUGGACAAUGGGCGCAAGCCUGAUCCAGCAAUGCCGCGUGAGUGAAGAAGGCCUCGGUUGUAAG
rnacentral:rRNA from 1 species